rnacentral:rRNA from 1 species
AGAGUUUGAUCCUGGCUCAGGAUGAACGCUAGCUACAGGCUUAACACAUGCAAGUCGAGGGGUAGCAGGGUAGCAAUACCGCUGACGACCGGCGCACGGGUGAGUAACACGUAUCCAACCUACCGUUUACUCGGGGAUAGCCUUUCGAAAGAAAGAUUAAUACCCGAUAGUAUAAAGAGUUCGCAUGUUCUCUUUAUUAAAGGAUUCCGGUAAUCGAUGGGGAUGCGUUCCAUUAGAUAGUUGGUGAGGUAACGGCUCACCAAGUCUUCGAUGGAUAGGGGUUCUGAGAGGAAGGUCCCCCACAUUGGAACUGAGACACGGUCCAAACUCCUACGGGAGGCAGCAGUGAGGAAUAUUGGUCAAUGGGCGAGAGCCUGAACCAGCCAAGUCGCGUGAAGGAUGACGGUUCUAUGGAUUGUAAACUUCUUUUAUAAGGGAAUAACAGACGAUACGUGUAUUGUUUUGCAUGUACCUUAUGAAUAAGCAUCGGCUAACUCCGUGCCAGCAGCCGCGGUAAUACGGAGGAUGCGAGCGUUAUCCGGAUUUAUUGGGUUUAAAGGGUGCGUAGGCGGUUUUUUAAGUCAGUGGUGAAAGUUUGAGGCUCAACCUUAAAAUUGCCAUUGAAACUGGGAAACUUGAGUAUAAAUGAAGUGGGCGGAAUUUGUGGUGUAGCGGUGAAAUGCAUAGAUAUCACGAGGAACUCCAAUUGCGUAGGCAGCUCACUAAGCUAUAACUGACGCUGAGGCACGAAAGCGUGGGUAUCCAACAGGAUUAGAUACCCUGGUAGUCCACGCUGUAAACUAUGAUUACUAGUUGU